GAUGAAGAACGCAGCGAAAUGCGAUAAGUAAUGUGAAUUGCAGAAUUCAGUGAAUCAUCGAAUCUUUGAACGCACCUUGCGCUCUUUGGUAUUCCGAAGAGCAUGCCUGUUUGAGUGUCAUGAAAAUAUCAACCUUGACUUGGGUUUUGUGCGCUAGUCUCGGCUUGGAAUUGGGUGCUUGCCGCUUUUACGAGCGGCUCACCUUAAAUGUAUUAGCUGGAUCUGUCUUUGAGACUUGGUUUGACUUGGCGUAAUAAGUAUUUCGCUAAGGACAUUCUUCGGAGUGGCCUCGUUUCUAGGACGCUUGUCCGCUUUCCAAUACAAGUUCCACCUCGUGGACAUGACUUUUUAUUAUCUGGCCUCAAAUCAGGUAGGACUACCCGCUGAACUUAAGCAUAUCAAUAAGCGGAGGA
rnacentral:misc_RNA from 1 species